UCGCAUACCCAUAAAUUAAUACAUAAUAUAGUUUUAAUAACAAUGAUGCAAUAUUUGUAACUGGUUGCCACGGAGUUCGCUCAUUCAGCAUAGGUGCCUAAUACCUACACACUCGCAUGUCGCUCCAAUCAGUUUUUCCUGUUCUCUCGGACUUACCCACAAACAAGGCAAGUAAGCAAGCAACAGAUAUGAUUACUGUUGAAUUAAUCUCGAAGUGUCGAGCCUACGCGAAGGCGUUGAACCGCGGCGGUAAUGUGUUUGGAGACAUUCGAUCAAGAUCAAGGCUACCGUGUUUACACUCAGAUCGUUCAUAACGUUCCUUUGCGUGUGCUAUCGGUUCAUCAUUCAUUAUUAUAUUGAACGACAGUAUGCAGUUCUGUUCAAAAGUUCUUGUAAUUUUAUAUAAGGUAUAUGUAGUAAUUUUCAAUUAAAAUAGAGUAUUGUGUUUCUUAUUUUUAUAAGAAAAUCCACUGUCUCAAAUGCGAUAAAAAUUCUAUUGAAUUA